rnacentral:rRNA from 1 species
CCUACGGGAGGCAGCAGUGGGGAAUUUUGCGCAAUGGGGGAAACCCUGACGCAGCAACGCCGCGUGCGGGACGAAGGCCCUCGGGUUGUAAACCGCUUUCAGCAGGGAAGACUUUACGACGGUACCUGCAGAAGAAGCUCCGGCUAACUACGUGCCAGCAGCCGCGGUAAUACGUAGGGGGCGAGCGUUAUCCGGAUUCACUGGGCGUAAAGGGAGCGCAGGCGGCACGGCAAGUCCGGUGUGAAAGCCCGGGGCCCAACCCCGGGACUGCACUGGAAACUGCCGGGCUGGAGUGUCGGAGGGGC